rnacentral:rRNA from 1 species
AUUACCGCGGCUGCUGGCACGAAGUUAGCCGGGGCUUCUUCUGCGGGUACCGUCAUUAUCGUCCCCGUCGAAAGGGCUUUACAACCCUAAGGCCUUCAUCACUCACGCGGCAUGGCUGGAUCAGGGUUUCCCCCAUUGGCCAAAAUUCCCCACUGCUGCCUCCCGUAGG